UCUUAGUUCCAGUUUUCUGUGCUAAUCAGC
rnacentral:piRNA from 1 species